rnacentral:rRNA from 1 species
GACAGAGGGUGCAAACGUUUGUUCGGAAUUACUGGGCGUAAAGCGCGUGUAGGCUGCUUCGCAAGUCGGGUGUGAAAGCCCUGGGCUCAACCUAGGAAGUGCACUCGAAACUGCGAAGCUGGAGUCCUGGAGAGGAAGGCGGAAUUCUCGGUGUAGAGGUGAAAUUCGUAGAUAUCGAGAGGAACACCGGUGGCGAAGGCGGCCUUCUGGACAGUGACUGACGCUGAGACGCGAAAGCGUGGGGAGCAAACAGG